rnacentral:rRNA from 1 species
GACGAACGCUGGCGGCGUGCUUAACACAUGCAAGUCGAACGGAAAGGCCCUGCUUUUGUGGGGUGCUCGAGUGGCGAACGGGUGAGUAACACGUGAGUAACCUGCCCUUGACUUUGGGAUAACUUCAGGAAACUGGGGCUAAUACCGGAUAGGAGCUCCUGCUGCAUGGUGGGGGUUGGAAAGUUUCGGCGGUUGGGGAUGGACUCGCGGCUUAUCAGCUUGUUGGUGGGGUAGUGGCCUACCAAGGCUUUGACGGGUAGCCGGCCUGAGAGGGUGACCGGCCACAUUGGGCCUGCGAUACGGCCCAGACGCCUACGUGAGGCAGCAGUGGGGAAUAUUGCACAAUGGGCGGAAGCCUGAUGCAGCAACGCCGCGUGCGGGAUGCCGGCCUUCGGGUUGUAAACCGCUUUCGCCUGUGACGAAGCGUGAGUGACGGUAAUGGGUAAAGAAGCACCGGCUAACUACGUG